UGAGUAACCUGCCCGUAACUCUGGGAUAAGCCUGGGAAACUGGGUCUAAUACCGGAUAUGACUCCUCAUCGCAUGGUGGGGGUGAAAGCUUUAUUGUGGUUUUGGAUGGACUCGCGGCCUAUCAGCUUGUUGGUGAGGUAAUGGCUCACCAAGGCGACGGCGGUANCUGGUCUGAGAGGAUGGCCAGCCACAUUGGGACUGAGAUACGGCCAGACUCCUAGGUAGCAG
rnacentral:rRNA from 1 species